AGUGAACGCUGGCGGUAGGCCUAACACAUGCAAGUCGAACGGCAGCACAGUAAGAGCUUGCUCUUACGGGUGGCGAGUGGCGGACGGGUGAGGAAUACAUCGGAAUCUACUUUUUCGUGGGGGAUAACGUAGGGAAACUUACGCUAAUACCGCAUCUGACCUACGGGUGAAAGCAGGGGAUCUUCGGACCUUGCGCGAUUGAAUGCGCCGAUGUCGGAUUAGCUAGUUGGCGGGGUAAAGGCCAACCAAGGCGACGAUCCGUAGCUGGUCUGAGAGGAUGGUCAGCCACACUGGAAGUGAGACGCGGUCCAGGCUCCGACGGGAGGCAGAAGUUGGUAAUAUUGGACAAUGGGCGCAAGCCUGCUCCAUCCACACCGCGUGGGUGAAGAAGGCCUGCGGGUGGUAAAGCCCUUUUGUUGGGAAAGAAAAGCAGCAGGUUAAUACCCCGCUGUUCUGACGGGACCCAAAGAAUAAGCACCGGCUAACUUCGU
rnacentral:rRNA from 1 species